rnacentral:sRNA from 1 species
AGGAGAAUGGAGCCUGGGAGGCGGGUCCGGAGAGGGCUAUGGAAAGCCCUCGGCGGGGAAGCCCGGCCGUAGAGGGACAGUGGAUAGGUGCCCGAGGCCUACAGCUGGCCUGGGGCUCGUGUCUGGGCUUCGGACGUUGGGGCCCGGUGGCCCAGCCUUUCCGUAGUUGUCCCAAAUGGAGCUGGAAUUGGAUGCUGGUGACCAAGACCUGCUGGGCUUCCUGCUAGAGGAAAGUGGAGAUUUAGGGACGGCACCUGAUGAGGCCGUGAGGGCCCCACUGGACUGGGAGCUGCCGCUUUCUGAGGUACCGAGCGACUGGGAAGUAGAUGAUUUGCUGUGCUCCCUACUGAGUCCCCCAGCGUCGUUGAACAUUCUCAGCUCCUCCAACCCCUGCCUUGUCCACCAUGACCACACCUACUCCCUCCCACGGGAACCUGCCUCUAUGGAUCUAGGUGAGUCUGAAAUAAGUUUGUGGGGAGGACAGGGUUCAUGGGACUGGCUAUUCAUACUUUCCCUUUUGCAGAGAAUGAGAGCUGUAGAAAAGAGGGGACCCAGAUGACUCCACAGCAUAUGGAGGAGCUGGCAGAGCAGGAGAUUGCUAGGCUGGUACUGACAGAUGAGGAGAAGAGUCUAUUGGAGAAGGAGGGGCUUAUUCUGCCUGAGACACUUCCUCUCACUAAGACAGAGGAACAAAUUCUGAAACGUGUGCGGAGGAAGAUUCGAAAUAAAAGAUCUGCUCAAGAGAGCCGCAGGAAAAAGAAGGUGUAUGUUGGGGGUUUAGAGAGCAGGGUCUUGAAAUACACAGCCCAGAAUAUGGAGCUUCAGAACAAAGUACAGCUUCUGGAGCAACAGAAUUUGUCCCUUCUAGAUCAACUGAGGAAACUCCAGGCCAUGGUGAUUGAGAUAUCAAACAAAACCAGCAGCAGCAGCACCUGCAUCUUGGUCCUACUAGUCUCCUUCUGCCUCCUCCUUAUACCUGCUAUGUACUCCUCUGACACACGGGGGAGCCUGCCAGCUGAGUAUGGAGUGUUGUCCCGCCAGCUUCGUGCCCUCCCCAGUGAGGACCCUUACCAGCUGGAGCUGCCUGCCCUGCAGUCAGAGGUGCCAAAAGACAGCACACACCAGUGGUUGGACGGCUCAGACUGUGUACUCCAGGCCCCUGGCAACUCUUCCUGCCUGCUGCACUACAUGCCUCAGGCUCCCAGUGCAGAGCCUCCCCUGGAGUGGCCAUUCCCUGACCUCUUCUCAGAGCCUCUCUGCCGAGAUCCCAUCUUCCCCCUGCAGGCAAAUCUCACAAGGAAGGGGGGAUGGCUUCCUACUGGUAGCCCCUCUGUCAUUUUGCAGGACAGAUACUCAGGCUAGAUAUGAGGAUAUGUGGGGGGUGUCAGCAAGAGCUUGGGGGGCUCCCCAUCUGUGUCCAAAUAAAAAGCGGUGGGCAAAGGCUGGCUGCAGCUCCUAUGCCCUGUCAGGAGGACUGAGGGCUCAAACAUACCACA